GACGAACGCUGGCGGCGUGCCUAACACAUGCAAGUCGAACGGAAACGCCCUGCUUUUUUGGGCUGCUCGAGUGGCGAACGGGUGAGUAACACGUGAGUAACCUGCCCUUGACUUUGGGAUAAGCUCAGGAAACUGGGGCUAAUACCAGAUAGGAUCUCCUGCUGCAUGGUGGGCGUUGGAACGUUUCGGCGGUUGGGGAUGGACUCGCGGCUUAUCAGCUUGCUGGUUGGGUAGUGGCUGACCAAGGCCUGGACGGGUAGCCGGCCUGGGAGGGUGACCGGCCACAAUAGGACUGCGAUACGGCGCAGACUCGAACGGGAGGCAGCGGUGGGGAGUAUUGUACAGUCGGCGGGAGCCUGAUGCGGAGACGCCGCGUGCGGGAAGACGGCCUGCGGGUAGUGAAACGCAGUAGCUUGAGACGAAGCGUUAGUGACGGUAAUGGGAGAAGAAGCACCGGCUAACUACGUG
rnacentral:rRNA from 1 species